ACUUUUAAAAAUAUUUAGAUCCAUAGUACAUCUGGAAUUAUUUUGCAAAAGGUAGUAUAUAAAUCACGAUUCAAUUUCCUCACAUAAGCAUCCAAUUGGUGAAGAAUUAAGUUUUGAAAGUCUAUACUUCCUGUUGCAUUUCAAUUUUACCUUUGCCACAAAAGAAGUAAACAUGUAUGCGCAUGUGUUACACUGACUUUUCAGUUUGAAAUGCAUUGUUUUCAUUUUUAAAAGGUCUACUAGUUUCUUUUUCAAAUAGGCUUUUUAUCAUAUUUAUCAAAUUGAAGCCUAUAUUUCUAUAAAUGUUACUUGAAAUAUUCAAAAUACACUUCUCAACAUUUACUUCAGGCUCUUGGGUCACAAAUUCAAUUUGUUGUGUCUGCUAUUCCCCUCAUAGUUUGAAUUCUUCAAUGUGAGCUUAUUUUCAAUAAGCAUUGUGUGUGUGUGUGUGUGUGUGUGUGUGUGAAGUCACACACACCAUGAGCUCUGGUUUAACACAUGAAAGUUUAUUUUUCUCUCAUGCUUGGUGUGCAGCUGCCUUCAAGCAGUGAUUCAGCAAUCCAGCUGUUUCCAUCUAGUGGCUGAACUGACUCAAGACGUAGCUGCCACUGUCACUGAGGAACGAGAAGAGAAACCAGGAGAUCCCACAUCUUCUGUGCUUCAGCUCAGAAGCGACUGCUGUCACUUGUAGUCCAUUGCCUACAACAGUCACAUGAUCCUAGCUAAUGGCCCAUGACUUGAAAUAUCGAGGAGCACGUGGGAAUAUGGAGAGCACAAAGUGGCUAUGCUCUUCUGACUACCAAAUAUCCUUUCACCCUCUUUGUGCCUGACACAGGACGCACUCAAGCUCUCCUCUCCUCAGGGAAGCAACGUGAAGGCCCAUGCGAUCAUUUCCCCAAUUCAAACUCCGUCAGAUCCAGACCCCUCCACGCAAACACAAAUAUCUGCCCCUACCUCCUACACAGUGUAGAAAACCAGCAGGAUAAUUUCAGUGAAUGCAGUCAUUCAGAAAGGGGGAAAAGGAAGCCACACAGCAGUCGUGGAUCCACAGCAAUUCUCAAAUGGCACCGGGCAGAUGUUGUGAGGUGCCCCACAGUGGGAAUGAGAACCCCUUGAUUAUUUUAUUAUGUCUUCAGGAAGGUUGUAUUAUAUCAGGUCCUUGGAAAGCUACCUCUCCAGUGAGUGACAUCUCCCUACUCCCGUGUGAUGGAUUCCUCUCAUGUGUUUGUUUUAUUUGUGAGCUGAUCAUCAGUAGAGAUGUGUGUGUGUGUGUGUGUGUGUGUGUGUGUGUGAGAGAGAGAGAGAGUGACUGUGUGACUCAGUCACUCAUACCAUGAAUUGUGAAAAUGCUUUUGCCAAGUGCUUCAGGGGAUUCAUCAGCCCUAGACUACUUUCUUUUUAACCUCAACUUCUCAGUUAGCAAUUUUUCUGCCAUGCAAGUGGUAUAAAUUUACACUUGUAGUUACCUAAGCACAAGUCGAAGGUUUAAUUUUUCAUUGGAAAUUUCUGUCUUCUCUGAGCCAUAGGGCGUUCAGCUAAGGACUUUAUGUCCUUAACAAUCUCAUUUUCCAACUCUCUUCCCCAGAGGUAACUGCAGUCCUGAAAAUGGCCUGUAUCUUUUUCAGUAAUGUACUUAUAAUUUUAUUGCUUAUAUAUGUGUCUAAAAAUUCAUAUGUAGUAUUGAUCUGUAGCUUAAAAGUUGUACUAAUGGAAACACUUUGUGGUUAUUUUCUGCAACUUGUUUUUUUGCUGUAAACAGUUCAUGGAAAAUGCUUAUUAUGAAAAGACUAUGCAUGCAUUUCAGAAAAGUUUCUGGCACCAAAAUAAGGUUAUUUUUGAAUCCCAUUUUCCAUGAACUUUUUCAAGUACUCUCAUACAGGACUUUGGCUUGUGGUCUACCAGUUGUCCUUUGAACUUGCUAUGCUGUUUUAAAACUAAAGAUCUUUAUUGAUGACCCUUUCCAAUACAAAAUAUUUAUCCCCUCCUCUUAAUUUUUUGUGACCGUAGAGAUCCUGCCUCUUUGAUAAAGUAUCUCAAGCUCAUGGAGCUUAUUUCUUCUAUGCUCAAAGUACUUUGUACUACUUUGGAUGGGAACUUACAGUUUCCCAUCUUAAGUGUUGGUUCCUACACAUCACUAACUGGACCACAUGCUCUUUGAGGUCAGGUCGAUGUCCAGACUUCUUUAUCUCUCUUGGACUUAAGUAGAAUGACCUUAUCCAGUAGGAAUUAGUCCUUUUUUUUUUUUUUUGACAUUCUGUGAGAAUUUGCAAGCCAAGAGAGAUGAUCUUCAUAAUAAUAAGGACAAAAAGGAAGGGUGGGGAAGGAGGACCAAGGGCUACCUACUAUACACAGCACACUGGUAUGAAGUUGGAGUCAUUCUUACACACAUUUUAUAUCCAAGGAUACUGAGUUUUUAAGUUUUAUUUACUUACAUUUUAAUUAGUUGAAAAGAAGAGUGACAGUGACAGUGACAGCAAGAGCAAAGGAGAGAGCUCUUCCACCUUCUGGUUCAUGCCCCAAAUGCCCACCACAGCCAGGACUGGGCCAGGCAAAAUCCAGGGAACUAGAACUCCAUCCAGGUCUCCCAGGUGAAUGGCAGUGUUAAGACAGCUAGGUAGAUAUUAGCCAUUGUGUUAAGAGGGGUGAAAGAUAAUGAGAAGUUUUAAAGAAGUAAAUUUAUGUGCAAUGGAAAGAGGAAGCAAGUCCUGAAAGUGGGACCCAGCCUCUUGUCUCUCUCCCCUAGACAAGGGUGUCCUUGUCUGUCCUUUAUCAAAGGAAUUCACUGAGUGAUACAGCUUGCCCUCCCGGACUGAAGGAGUCAUUUGCUUCUCCAAUAGUUAAGAACCCUGAUGGCCAGUGUUGUCUGGAAGGGUUUGUUUAGGGGAAUUCCACAUCCAAAAAUCCCUCACCCGGACUUUCCCAGAAGAGGAGGAUGCAAGAAACGGGGACCCAUACUCAUGUCCAUAAAAACCCCAGUCUGAAUGCAAACUCUCAACCCUUUGCUGAGAUGCCUACCUGGUCUGUCAGGUGUAGCAAUUUCUGUCUCUUCCUUUUUUCCAAUAAACUAUGCUAAAAUCACUUUUUCAUCUGCUCAUUCAUGGGCCACAGAUUUCACCAUCCAUAGAAAAAGUUCUUGGGGUUCAAAUCACAGCAGGGACCCAACUACUUGUACCAUCAUCACUCAUUGCCUCUGAGGAUACACAUUGGCAAGAAGCUGGAUUGGAAGUACGGCAGGGGCUCAAACGCAGGCACUCCAAUGGGGGAAGCAGAGUCUUACCUUGUGUGCCACACACCGGCUCUGAGAACCUAAAUAACUUCCCCAACAGAGUUCACGGCUAUGAAAGCUGGAACACCAGUCCCUCCAUCCCUGAUUCUGAGUCUUAAGAGCUUAAGCAGAAAGAGAGAUGGAAGCACAGGUCUGAACAAUUCAACAUGGUUGAGGAGAUCGGUGAAAGAAGCCAUGCAAGUCUUGCCUGUAGUCAGGAACAGGAAGUGGUAUUCCUUCUGGCAGACAGAAGUCUAAGUUGUAGUUAACAAGUAAAGUAGAUGGCCUCUGCUAGAAAGAGUGGUCUCAGAUGGGUCUGAGAGAGAAAAGGAUGCCUGAGACAAGAGCCCAGCAAUUCAGUUGAUGAUGGACAUGUGCGAUACAGGACCCAACACGAUUUGUGUAAGAUUCUGUCUCAGUCCCCAGUGUGCAUCACCAAGCUCCAGCCAAGUCCAGGGCACUGGGAAGAGACCUGGAACAAAGGGGCAAGGGCAUUGGACUCUCCCACGCCUCUUUACCACUUGGCUUCCUGCUGUUUUGAUUAUUCAGGGCUUCUCUCUCAUGUAACCAAUCCACAGAGAACAUGAAGCCCUCCAGAACCUAUUUCUGUUCUUCAACUGACCCCUUACAACACCCAAACUCUUGGCCAGCCUGUCAGUCUGAUACCAUGCCUGUCCCAGCAAUCAUGCCUGCUCAGCAUUCCCACACAUGCGUAUCAUUUUCCAGAAUGGAGUGUGGAAAAUGAUAUUUUUCUUCUGCCAUGAUAACAUCCCCAAAAUUAGGGGAGGAAAAAAAAAUCCAGGAACUGAUAUUUUACAAGGUCAUGUUUCAUGUUCUUGGGCUCGAUACAGCCCAGGAUCUGAGGAUUUGUUGGCUAAGAGGACAACAGGGACACCGGGGGGAUUGGUGUUGGGAGGUGGUACCUGGCAGGGUCUGCGUCCUUGGAGUUUGGCAACUCCUGCAGAGUCUCCCUAAGUGGGAAAAUAUAAAACUGUGCAGAGGAAUGGUAUAACAUCCUGCCGGUCCAUGAGGAUUUGUCAGAUCAACAAAGGCUAAUUCUGAGUGUUCCCUGCUGUGCUUCCUAACGCCCUGAGACACUCGGCUGAAUUAUCUAUUAAGAAUAUUUUCCUAAGUCGUUUGUGUUAGAUUAUAGGCUAUAAACUGCUUAUUGUUGCCUGUCUGCCAUAAAUACAAAGCAAUCAUUUUUAAUGCAAGCAGCUGUUGGGCUGGCUUCCCCAAGAUGCUUUGCCCAGGGACGUGCAUUCUGCUGCUUUCUCCUUCAUCAAGUGCAUUUCUGAUUGUUUUUCUGCUCCACUGCAUACCACACACGUGGUGGUGGUGGGGGUAUAAAUUUUCCUUGCCUUGCUUUGUUUGGAUACAGGAUUUCCAAAAAUAUCCAAAAGGAACUGAAGGUGCUGGGGGGAAAAUUAAGUUAUGUGAAAUCCGAAGACUCAAGUCCCCAUCACAGCCUCUAUAUUUUAAAAAUGACCUUGAAACGCCAACCCAUUUUCUGAUUGCCAACAAUAAAAUAUUUGAUUUUGAAUUAAAUUUAUUGAAGAUAUAUUCAUAUAUAUUUAUUCAAUAUAUGCUUAUUGAAUAUGGCUAUUUUAGAUUAUGUUAAUUUGGGUUUUAAGCUUAUAUUACAAAUAUAUUUAUUACUCCAAAAUUCUUUUUUAAAGAUUAAUUUACUUAUCUAUUUGAAGGAUAGAGUGGGAGUGAUAGAAAGAGAGAGAGACAGAGAUCUUCCAUCUGCUGGUUUACUUCCCAAAUCAUACAACAUCCAGGCCCAGGCCAGGCCAAAGCCAGGAGCCAGGAGCUCUGUCCUGUUCUCUCACAUGGAUGUCAGGGGUCCAAGUCCUUGGGCUAUCAUCCUCUAGAUUCAUUACUCAUUAUUCAUUAUCAGGAAGCUAGAUUGGAAGUGAGGCAGCCAGGACUUGAACCAGUACUCUGAUAGGGGAUGCCAAUGUCACAAGAAGUGGCUUAACUCAUGGUACCACAACAGUGGCCCCUACUCAACAAUUCAUUAUUGAGGGUCUACAAAGUAGUACAAUACCAUGCUAGAUACAGGGUAUCUAAAAGUGAGCCUAAUUGAUUUGUUGCCUGCUUUUCUAUUCCUUGGAGUCUAGUAGAGACAGACUGAUCAAAAACAGAUAGCCUCUGACUUAGAGUGGUUCAACUUGUUUUUCAUCUUUGCAAUGGUGUGUAUCUAUAUUGCUGUAUAGAUUUGGUAGAAAUUGUACUUCAAAUUUUGACUUUUGAUCUUUUCCCAGGCUAAGGAUACAAAAUAACCAUUUUUUUUUCACAUUCAGUACAGUACUCGAUAAAUUCCAUGAGAUAUUCCACAUGCUAUUAUACAGUAAUCUUUGUGGUGGUAAUUUUGCAGUAGACUUCAUGUUUGAAGGCUUUUUUGUUCGAAGAUCAAAGCUUCAUGUUCGAAGAUUUUUGUCCUACUGUAGGCUAGUGUAAGUGUUUUGAGUAUGUUUAAGGUAGGCUAGGCUGAGCUACAAGGAAACUUUGAACAGUUAAUGGCAAAUCUAUAUGUUAAAAGCUACACACGGGGCCAGCACUGCGGCUCACUAGGCUAAUCCUUUGCCUGCAGUGCCGGUACCCUGGGUUCUAGUCCCGGUCAGGGCGCCAGAUUCUGUCCUGGUUGCUCCUCUUCCAGUCCAGCUCUCUGCUGUGGCCCGGGAAGGUAGUGGAGGAUGGCCCAUGUGCUUGGGCCCUGCACCUGCAUGGGAGACCAGGAGGAAGCACCUGGCUCCUGGCUUUGGAUGGGCACAGCAUGCCGGCCGUAGGGGCCAUUUGGGGGGUGAACCAACGGAAAAGGAAGACCUUUCUCUCUGUCUCUCUCUCUCUCUCACACUGUUUAACUCUGCCUGUCAAAAAAAAAAAAAAAAAAGCUACACACAGAUUUCAAAAUGUUUUACACCAAAACAAACUUUUCUUUUAAUUCCAUUUUCCCAUGAACUUUUUGAAGUUCCCUCAUGUACUGUUCAGCAGGUUAGGUAGAUUAAAUGAAUUUUGGAUGUAGGAUAUUUUCACAAUGGAUUUUGUGACAGUAACCCCAUUCUAAGUCAAGGAACUUCUGUAAUUACAUACAUUGUGACAUGGGAACAAAGGAAAAUUUCAGGAACUAAUGGUAUGCCUCAUCUGGUGAUUGGUAAAGAACUUUCCAAGGCACAUCCACUCUAAGCUCCCAAGAAGCAACAGGAAGACACCAGGGGAACUGGAGCCAGGACACGGUGGUGGGAGGUGCCCAGAGGGGUUGUGAUCAUGGACAGUCACGGCCAGUCAUGGAACUGUAGCACCCAAGUGGGAGGAAACACUCCUUAGAUUGGCUGAACUCAAAGAGAAGCCUGAGAUCAAGAGAAACCCAUUGACAUCAGCACCCCCGACCCUCACCCAGCUGGGGUCUAAAGCCGGGCAGAGAUGAACAGCAGUGCGAUGGAGAGGCACAUGGAGAAUAACCAGCACAGAAAGGAGUGGCAUUAUCAGUGAUCUGCAUAAAAUCAUACUGCAUCCAUCAGAGAAGGAAAUGCUGUGAUUUCAGGCAGUGCUGAUUGAGGAUGAGAGUUUGUGUUCGCCACCGGAAGCAGAGAGCAAAUGUGGAUGAUGGAAAGUCAGGGGUGACGGAGGGAAUCUGUACCAUACCAUCAACUAUCCCACCCCGCAGGCUUUUAAUAAAGGCUUGAAGGUAUCGCUGCUGAGUGGAGAUUUCCUUUCUACAUUUUGGGAUUUAACCAGCCUUGCAAAGCUGGUGCCAUGGAAGACCCUGGAGACAGACAGAGCCUCAACCUCCAGGAACCAAUCAUCUAGAAUCACUGCAGGACCACAGAAAAAACAGAACUGUGGAUUGCACUUACAUGGGGAUGCUCAGCAUGAAAUGAACUUUUGGAGUGAAUCUAAAACCAUCAGUCACAUGAUCCUUGCAACCAAGCUGCCUCUAGGACACACCGUUUAUUGCGCUGGCCUCUCCAAACCGUCUCUCAUACAACAGGCACCUCAUGCUGCAACCAUCUGCUCACCUGGCCUAUUGGUUCAAGGAGACAGAAAACACCCAAAAGGAUCAUUUCCACCUGAACCAAGCAGCCUCCUUCCAGUCUAACUACUGCAUCUUCUGAAUCCGGUCUGUAAGGUAGAACCACUUGAAGCAUAUUUUUUAAAAAGAUCUGAGCCCCGCCGGCGCCGCAGCUCACUAGGCUAAUCCUCCACCUUGCAGCACCGGCACACCGGGUUCUAGUCCCGGUCGGGGUGCCGGAUUUUGUCCCGGUUGCCCCUCUUCCAGGCCAGCUCUCUGCUGUGGCCAGGGAGUGCAGUGGAGGAUGACCCAAGUGCUUGGGCCCUGCACCCCAUGGGAGACCAGGAGAAACACCUGGCUCCUGCCAUCGGAUCAGCGCAGUGCGCCGGCCGUGGCAGCCAUUGGAGGGUGAACCAAAGGCAAAGGAAGACCUUUCUCUCUGUCUCUCUCUCUCACUGUCCACUCUGCCUGUCAAAAAAAAAAAAAAAAAAAAAAAAAAGAUCUGAGCCCCGAUUCUACCACAGUACAAUUAGGUUAGACUCCCUGCAAAUAGGGCCAUCAUUCUUUGAUCAAAGCUCUCCAUCUGAUUCCUUUAUGAGGUCAGGGUUGACAGUCAGUGAUAAACAAGUUUAAUAAUUCUUCUGCGUGGUCAGGUGUACUGCCGUACUGCUCUGGUCACUAUGAAAGGUAUCUUGGCAUAAGAAGAAGUAUCAUCACAACAGCUUGAAAGGAACCCAGCUUUGGAGUUUUGGGGUCAAAUUAUGGACACCAUAUAAUUUCAGGGAGUGUGUCUAUAGGGUUCUAAGUGGCAGAACAGAGAUAAAUGAGACCAGAGUCUGGCUUGAAGUCAAAGAGGCCUGGGCUUGAGCCCAGCUUCUUCCAGUCUCUUGCUGUGUGACCUCACAUAUAUAUCUCUUCUUUGGUAGAACAGAUAUGUCCAUGCUUCCCUUGCAGGGAGUGUAGACUGAAAUUAUAAAUUCUAUAAACCAUUUAGCACACAACUGAACACAUGAUAGCUAUUAUUAUAAGGAUUUUAGAAUAUCUUACAUAUUCUCCUCUCUACUGCCCAAUAUGAAGCCAAAACAAAUCUGUGAGGGCUGGGAAUUCUAAGAUGUCUGGUGUAGGCAGGGGUUAGGUGUGAGACAGAUUUGAGUAGAUCACUGUAAUGACUGUGCAUUAUUCUAAUGUAUGCAAGAUAGGGAGGUGGCUCAAUGUGUUCUUUGGAAAGCCACCAGGGUUGAUGUAUGAAGACCAAGUUAGAGAUGCAUAGGGAUAGAAGCAAAGAAACUGGUUAGGAGGUUAUUAUAGUAAUCCUGGUGAAAGAUGAUGGAGGGUUAGAGUAAGACAGUGGCAAGAGGGAUGAAGAGACAUAUUCUAAUGAGAUGAAUUCUGAAAGCAGCAUGGGGAGGGACUAUGGAUUCAUUGGGGGUGAGCAGGACAGGAGAGUGGGCUCCUGGGUGGAACAUGGGUCUGUUUAUUAACACUGGAGAAAGAUUUUGGAGAACAACUGAGAGUUGAGUUUUGGGCAAAUGAACCUAGAGAUUCUUGUGAAUCACUUAAGUGGAGAAAACACAAAGACAAUUAGGCGUAUUGUGAUGAACUUUCAAAGAAGAUUGGAUAGGUGAUAUAUAUUUGAUAGUUAUCUUCAUAGAAAUGGUAUGAAUCUGUGAGAACGGCCAAACUCACCUAGGUGAGAGUAGAAGGAAAGAUAAAGGGACUCAGGAUGCAUUCCUGCAGAAAACUCAAAAAGAUUGCUCUGUUUCUCAUUUCCCUCUAUGGACAAGGACUACAUUGUACAUAAAGGGCCUUCAAAAACUGCAUGGAAAAUGUGUAGGAAGUAUCACUAUGCUUCUAAAUCUGUGCAUAGGAAAUACAUGAAAUUUGUUCACCUUAUAUAAAUAAAAAAAUGAAAAAAAAUAAAAAGCUGUGCAUGAACCUCAAAAGUCUUUUGUACCAAAAUAAACUGAUGUUUUAAUUCAAUUUUUGCAUGAUAUUUUGUAGUACCCCAUAUACGCUUGGGAGCCUAGUGCCUGAACCACAGUGUGUAGUCAGUAAUGUUGAAUGAAUGAAUGAACCACUCAAUCAAUACUAAAGUAGGUGAAACUUCAAGAUGUGUCUCUGAUCGAAAUAUUCUAGACUGUGGGUGUCAGUGUGUGUUUCUGUUUCCUGUGUCGCAGGAGUAGAGAAUUUGGGAAGGACUCAACUCCUAAAGA